ACUCAAAUGAAUUGACGGGGGCCCGCACAAGCGGUGGAGCAUGUGGAUUAAUACGUCACUAACCGUAGAACCUUACCCAGGCUUGACAUCUGGGGAAGGCGGCUGAAAGGCGGCCGUGCCCCGCAAGGGGAACCCCAAGACAGGUGUUGCAUGGCUGUCGUCAGCUCGUGUCGUGAGAUGUUGGGUUAAGUCCCGCAACGAGCGCAACCCUCACCGCAUGUUGCCAGCGUCAAGUCGGGCACUCUUGCGGAACUGCCCGGGUAACCGGGAGGAAGGUGGGGACGACGUCAAGUCAGCAUGGCCCUUACGCCUGGGGCUUCACACAUGCUACAAUGGCCGGUACAGAGGGUUCCGAGCCCGCGAGGGGGAGGCAAUCCCAGAAAGCCGGUCCCAGUUCGGAUCGCAGGCUGCAACUCGCCUGCGUGAAGUCGGAAUCGCUAGUAACCGCCGGUCAGCUAAACGGCGGUGAAUCCGUUCCCGGGCCUUGCACACACCGCCCGU
rnacentral:rRNA from 1 species